UACCAGGUGCAGCAUGCGUGUCCUGCAAUUGGAGGUGGGGCGAGCCGCCCAUGGGGGUGGGGCGCACUGCAUGGAGCCUCUCCACCACGUCCCCCUCAGCUGUAGGGAGGCUGAGGGAGAGGCGGAGAGCAGACACAAGUCCCAUGCUGCUGUUUCAGGCAGCGCAGAGCCGGCAGGCACCCAAGCCACCACAUCACUCCCAGGAGAGACAUGUGGCUCGGGCAUGCUGCAGGCCCCGCGGUAAGUGCCGGCCCAUGCGGUGUGGCACCCAGUGCCAGCUGUGUUUCGUUACAUUUGAUGACUGAACAAAAAAAAAUGUGAGCCCAAUUUAUUUAUUUAUUUAUUUAUUUUUAUUAUUAAAAACUCAUAUUUUUGUUAUUUGGUCACCCCCCUCAGUGAUGACACCCGGGGCAGACAGCCCCCCCGCACUUCCUUCCUCCACCACUGCUCAUGUAUUGCUCUGUUCCAAGCAAUGAUCCAGUGCUUCCUACUGCUUGCUAGGAUCAAGAGACCUUUCAAUUCAUUGGGUUAUAAAUAACGCAAGUGCUGAUACUAUUGGCCUCCACAAAAACACGAAUAGAACAUGUCAUCCAAAUUAGCACUUUAAUUGGGAAGAUAUGGACGGCUUUGUCAUCAGCUUUCUGCAAACCCCUUUCUGAUCAAGCUCUGUGCAUUUAAUUAUUCACAGUUUAACCUCAGAGAUAAUGUCUGUGUCUCUUGCAAGACUCCCAAGUGCCGGGACGAGUCCAAAAUCCAUGAACUCAGGAGCAACUCUCUAAUUUGAGAGUAACCAUCUUUAAAUUAAAAAUGAACCCAGUCUUUGUUCUGCAUCUGUCUGUCUGUCUGUCUAUCUGUAUCUCACUGUACAGUCAAACUCUGGAAAACAUCAGUGAUGCCAUCUGGGAUCUAAUCUCCAACCUGGAAGCUACUCAUCUUUUAGGACACUGAUUUUUAUGAGUGUGGCUUCUCUAUGGUUUGGUUCCAUGUCACGCUAGUAAUGAUUGGAUAAGAACAUGAGCAUAGCAGCAUAAGAAGAGCCUGCCAGAACAGCCAGUGGCUCAUCUGGUCCAGCAUCCUGACAGGAGUCAAGCAGAUGCCUGUGAGAAACCCACAAGCCAGACCCAAGCACAAGAGCCCUCUCCUGUCCAGUGGUUUCAACAUCUGGAGGCAGAGCAUUGACAUUGUGGCUAAUAGCCAUGGAUAGCCCUCUGCUUCAUGAAUCUAUCCAAUCCUCUUUUAAAACCAUCCAAGUUGGCGGCCAUCACUGCCUCCUGUGGGAGCAAGUUUCCUAGUUAACUGUGCACUAUGGACUCACAUGGGUUGGGGCAAGGGCUUAGAUCCUUCCCACAAAAACACUGGCUGACACCAAGAGUGCAGUGCUGGCAUGGGAAAAGAACCUACAUGGGGCAUGUGGGAACUCUGCUCAUCCCUGUGGUUUUCAUCCAGAGGUUUCUCGGAUGUCACUGGACCUCAUUGUGGGAGAUCAGCUCCAAUGCUCACAGUGAAUGAACAUAUUCUCUCCUAAGUAGGGUUAUGGCCUUGUGGCAGAGCACAUAUUUUUCCACCCAGGAACUUCCAGGCACAAUAGCUGGCAUUGUUAGGAUUUUGUGUAGCAGGGUUAGACAAAAUCUUGUCCCUUAGACCUUCUAGAACUGCUGGCAGUGAGAGUAGUGAAUAUGUUCCAAACUCCAUUAUCAUGGGUGGGGAACCUCUGGCCCUCUAGAGGUUGUUGGACCACGUCUCACCCUUCAUGACGAUGGCUGUGCAGGCUGGGGUUGGUGAAGGUUGGAGUCUGAUAAGAUCUGGAGGCUUCUUCAUCCCCACAGCACAAGGGAGGGGGGCCGUAUGUCCUGCUUUACAGAGGACAGCCCUCUCUCCAAAGGAGUCUUGUCAUGUCCAAGCCAGGCUUAAAGAUUUCAAAGAAUGAGAAGCGAAAGCAGAAGACCCUUGCAGUUGCCCAUCAAGAACUGGUGACUGAGCAGCAGACCAAGGAAGUGUCAUCUUGUCCACUAGGUUGACACAUAGUACAUUUCUAUUUAAAUUUUUGUUUUAAGUAUCCAACUUUAUAUAAAAAUCAGCAUGUUUUUCUCCACUAUUUAUUUAUUUAUUAUGUCAUAAAAUUUACAUGAAGCUUGAUUGCAAAAAGGACUUUCUAAGCAUUUUAUAAAAAUAACAAAACAAUGCAUGUAUCUAUACAAACUGUUAAAAACAGCAGUUUUUAAAAUUCAAAAAGAUAAAAUCAGCAAUAAACUAAAAACAAAUCAAAACACAUAUCAACAUUCUAGAUCUAUGAGUAGGCUUGUCGAAACAAAAAAUGUUUUGAGCCGGCACCCAAAAGUGUACCAUGAAGGAGCUUGCCUGAUACCAAUCAGCAGGGAGUUCCACAGGGUGAGGUGCCAGCCAAAGUGUAAGACACUUUCAUGCUUCCUCACCAGAUUCCUCACCUAUCUCAUUUGUGUCUGAUGCUCACAUUCCAAGUCCCCCACCAUCACCACCACCACAACAACAAAAACACCCCUCACCAAAUCAAUUAUUUCAAUAACUGCAGGUUCCUAUAGGUUACAUGCCAGCUGUCAGGAGAGGCACAACAGCAACAAAACUCAGGCCUGUGGGGACUUUUAAAGUGUGGGUUAUUUGAAAAAGAAUGACUCCAUAUGGCAUAUUUUAAAGGCAAAUCGAGGAUGAUAUGCUUGGUGGUUUCUGGAGUUCUUUAUUUCCACUCUGGUGCCUCAUUUAAUCCAGAUGACAAAUGCUUUGAGCAAUCCAAAUAAUAAAAGACCAUCAUCUCCUGUCCAGGGCAAAGAGAACCAGCUCCUCACACCAGAGCAAAAGAAACAUUUCUGCGGCAUGCUUCCCUGCAGCCUCCUCCACUGCUAGCCCAAGGGAGGAUUUAGCAAAUGAUGUCUUCUCCUGGACUUUGAUUGGCUACCUGGGAAAGUAGCAGAGUGCAGACCCCUGGUAAGAUGAUUUGCAGAAUGAAAGAAAGCAAGGAAACUCACAAACACCACUUGGAAAGUAAGUCAAGCGCACCAAAAAGUCUGCACUGUGGUAGCUCCAUGUGUCUGUGGCACAAACACAGCUGAGUGCAGAUCGCCUGGUGACAUUCAAGUACAGCAGGUGCCACUGGCCUGACCUUGGAUGUCUCCAGGAAACACAGUGUUUUGCUUUGGUAGAGAAGUACAUGUUCAUGAUGCAGAGGCUGCGAUACAAGCCAGCUCAAGCAGCCUUUGUCCUUUCUCAUUCAUGCUGCUGAUACCAAAGUGGGCUAUGCAGAUGUCCCACGUGUGAUGAUUUCCCUCAAUUCUAGCAUUGAAAUCUCCCAACAGGAACAGGUGUUUGCAAUCUGGGACCCUCCUGACAGCCUGGUCUAGUUCCUCGUAGAACUGGUCCUUGCUUUAUAGGCCAGAGUGCAUAGUUGGAAUGUAGAUGCUCAAGAUGUUAACUGGACAGGAGGUGGUUGAGAAGCAGAGGGAAAGCGACUUCCAGUACUUCCUGCCUUAAAUGGAUGCAGUUCCCACGCUAGCGGAGAUCAUUUGCUGAGGAAAACAAGGAUGAUUUGGGAGUAAUUGUCCUUGCAAGCUCCCCCCCAGGGCCGGGGGGAGUGAGGGUCACUCACAGAUCGUCUUGAUAACCGGUUCUCACUCCAGCAUGGAAUCUGAGAGACAGGAGACACUGAGUGGAAAAGCGUUCCACAUAUCAGUAACACCAGUAAUGCAGCCGUUAAGAGCAGAGGUUCUUCUGUAUAUUUGCAUGAAAUUGGCUCCAGUUUACAGAUGUUGCAGGAUGAAGGGGAUAAGAUUACAAUCUGCCAAGAGAAUCAGCUACUGGGUUGCAACGUUUCAAACUGGAAUGAAGAUCUCCUUCGUUGAAGAAUAUGGUAUGUCAGGGGGGAGGGGAGCCUUUACCCUUUUUUAUUAAUACAAUAUUUGCUAUAUAAAUGAUUUGGCAAACCUCCCCCUAAACAAUAACAACUGAUAAAGAGCAAAAAGAGAAAAAGACAACAGAAUUAUAUUUAUGGAUU